CAGAUAUUUAAAGAAAUACUGAGAAUCCUGCUGUCUACAGACUGAUUUGAUGGAGAGCAUUUGACUGGUCCUGGAGCCUUCGGACUACUAUCCUUCAUUCAAAGAGAGGAGAGAGAAAGAAAAAAAGGAAGCAACUUUCAGUUCCCGGUAGAGCACCUGGAGGAACUGCUGGAUCCAGAUGUUCUUCGUAAACAUCAAAGGAAACACUAUUUUAUGUGAAAGUGGUAUAAUAAAUGAAAUAAGUGAAAACUAUCUGCAAUUCUAAUACAUGCUGAACAUCUGG
ensembl:lncRNA